CCGUCGUCGUCGUCGUCGUCGUCGUCGUCGUCGUCGUCGUCGUCGUCGUCGUCGUCGUCGUCGUCGUCGUCGUCGUCGUCGCCGUCGCCGCCGCCGUCGUCGUCGUCGUCGACGUCGUCGACGUCGUCGUCGUCGUCGUCGUCGUCGCCGUCGUCGCCGUCGUGGGAACGACAAGAAAGGUGUUUGUCGAGAGGAACACGAAAGAAGAAGACCCCCCCGGCAUCGUACGCACGGACGCUCACGUAGAUGCGUGAGGGAAAGAAUUAACGAAGAGAAAAAGGGAAAGAAAAGAGAGAGAGAGAGAAACAGCUGCGCGAUCGGAAGCCCAAGCGAAGAGGAGAGCAGCAACAGGAGGAGGAGCAAGAGGAACAAAGUGCGAAAACGAAGAAGAAGAGAACAAGGAGGAGGAGAAGGAGGAGGAAGACGUGGAAGUGAUAUCGCAAGAGAAAAGAAAGACAAAGAGAUAGCCCAGGCGGACGAGGUAGAAGAGACAGUGAGUGAGCGAGAGCUAGCUAGCGUGUGCGAGUCAAAAUGGCGCUGAAUCAGGACGUGGACCAGUUGACCAAGAGCAACCUCGUGGUCAGGAUCGACCAGAACUCCGAGUCGGACCUGCAGGCGCUAUUCGACAGUGUGUUAAAGCCCGACUCGACGCGACCGCUGCAGGUACCGCUGCGCAUGCGUAAAUUGCCGGACUCCUUCUUCAAUCCUCCGUCCACCGGCAGCAAGAGCCCGUCGAUCUCGCACUCGCGCGAGAACUCCGCGGAUUCCGCGUUCGGGACCGCUGCUGCGACACCGAGCAACGCCGCCGGGGGCGGCGCCGGCAGCAACGCGUCCAACGGCGGCGCGAACGGCAGCGGCGCUGGCGCGGGCGGCGCGGGCGGUGGAGCAGGCGGCGGUAACGCCGCCGCCGACGCCGCCGGUGCCGGCGCGGGUGGCGGCGCGGGCGGCGGCGCAGCCGGCGGCGGAGGUGCCGCCGGAGGCGGCGCGGGCGGCGCGAACAGCGCCGCAGGUGCGGCCGCGGCUGCCGCUGCGGCCGCCGCCGCCGCCGCGGCCGGUCUCACCGUCGCGCAUCCCCGCGCCCACAGCAGCCCGGCCUCCCUUCAGCAGACGUACGCCUCGGCGCAGCAGGCGCCGCAGCACGCGCCGCAGCCGCACGCGCGUCACCACCAUCAUCAGAAGCAGCGCAGCUACGACGUCAUCAGCACGGUCGACGACCUGGGUCCAUUGCCGCACGGAUGGGAGCAGGCUCGCACCCCCGAGGGCCAAAUCUACUUCCUCAACCACUUGACUCGCACCACCACAUGGGAGGAUCCGCGGAAAACGGCCGCUGCUGCGAAUGUGGCGGCGGUUGCCGCCGCGGUCGAGAGCGGCAAAUCCAACGGCAACACGCUAGGCCCACUGCCCGAUGGAUGGGAGCAGGCUCGCACACCCGAGGGCGAAAUCUACUUCAUCAAUCAUCAGACCCGCACCACUUCGUGGUUCGAUCCGCGAAUCCCAUCGCAUCUUCAGAGAGCUCCCACAUCGGGCGCGAUGCUGCCACAAAGCUGGCUCCAACAACCCACCGGCGGCGGCAUACAAAGCAGUCAGAGCCUGCAAGCCUGUCAGCAGAAACUGCGCCUUCAGUCGCUACAGAUGGAACGUGAACGCCUAAAGCAACGACAACAGGAGAUUAUGCGCCAGCAAGAGCUCAUGCUACGACAGAGUACCACCGAUGCUGCUAUGGAUCCGUUUCUGUCAGGCAUUAACGAGCAGCAUGCCCGUCAAGAGAGCGCCGAUAGCGGCUUAGGACUCGGUUCCGCUUACUCACUUCCUCAUACUCCGGAGGAUUUCCUCGCGAACAUCGAUGACAAUAUGGACGGCACUAGCGAUGGCGGUGCGCCGAUGGAGACGCCCGAUCUGUCGACUUUGAGCGACAACAUCGACUCGACCGACGAUCUUCUGCCGUCGCUUCAGGUAUCCCCAUUCGACGCGUGGUAUCCGUUGCAGUUCGAGAACGACGUUAUACUGAGAUUUGUUUGAAAAGAGUGGCGGGAAAGACUCAUCCACCCUUUUUUUUGCGAAGACAGAGGCAGUUGCACUUUCCGACUAAUUAUCUUAACCGAGGAUUUCAGCAGCGACAUCUUGGACGACGUACAGUCGCUCAUCAAUCCCAACACGACCAAACCGGAGAACGUGCUGACGUGGCUGUAGUACGGCCCGACGUUCGGAGCUCGUAUUCGCGAUGUGAAUUCGCUUGAUCGGUCUGGCGAAUACACCAGCGGUACCGCGACACCUAGAAGAGACGUACGCAAGAAAUUCUUAUCGAGGGGGCUUUAUAAGAGCAGCAACACCACCGACAACCGUAACAACGAAGUAACACGAUUGUUUGCUUACGACGACAAUCUUCAGACUUAGACACACGGUGGCCUUAUUAUUGCAGCGCGUUAUGCUCAACAAUCUAGACACGUGUAUGUGUAAGCGAUACAUAUAUACGCACAUACGUGUACGUGUGUGUGGUGCGUGCGUGCGCACGAAUAUGUGUAUCGUUUAUGUAGACACGCAUAGGUAGGUAUAAGGAUUCCUGUUCUUCGGACCUCCCUCUCUGUCUCUCGCCAGGCGCGAUUUCACGCGUUCGUGCGAGCGCUCUCGCGUGCGAGCGUUCUUAAAUGUUUUGUACAUAAAUUUCUAAUCUGCUGGUGACACGCGGCCGUGGAAACGUGCCUGAGAAAGAGAGCGAGAGAUGGAAGGGGUGGAGAGGAGGAGGUGAACGACUGGAUGGACGUUCUCCUCGGAGAGGAAGGAUACUUUGACGACAAUAAACGGUGCGCCAAUGCGACCGAUCGUCGAUGUUGCGUGCUUUUCGUUAAAACGCGACGAUAACGAAUGAUCCGACGCGUCUUAUCCGUCAUGCUCACGGUCGAAUUAUCAACGAAAACUGCUGCUGCUGCUGGCAUCAUGACGUGCCAGUCUCUCGGCACGUCUCUUCGUUUCUCGCCGGUUUCUCGAGGACGAAGCGAGAGAACGUCACAAGUGCGACCGAUUGUGGACGUGUAUGUCGCGAGAGUGAGAUAAACGGAAAGAUCGUUGAGCUCCGACGAACGUGAGUAGCAGAAGUCUUCGGUGGCCGUGACACAAUAGCCACGUGAUAAUAAUCGUGUUCUCAGCCGGCCGAUUGGCUUCUCCCGCGCGUAAGCAACGGAGGAACGUUCGAUUGGAUGCUUCGAGUUCGUAAGUCUUGUGUUAAACAGAAAAAUACGUUCCGUGCAAGAACGCGUGGACAGAGAAGAUUGUUGAUUGAAUUGAUGCGAUAAUGAACGAUCCAAAUCCGAGGAAAUUAAAUUCCGUUCUAUUAGAGAAUAGAAACAUUUUGUUUCCUUGAAGCAAAAUGUGUUGCUUCGUUCAUCGUCAUUGUUCAUUGUUCCUUGGUUCAUCCACUCAAUCUUCUUUCUUCAUACGAGAGAGACGAGUCGUCGAGGUGUCGAAUUAUAUAUAUUACGUCCGCGUUAACGAACAUUUUCACGAUUAUCGCGCUCGCAGUGCAAUUCUAUCACAAGCGAUACGCUUUAAACGAAGUGCCUUGUCCUUUUCUUAAAAGAUCAAUCUAAACACGCGAGACGAGGCUGGGUCUCGGCCCCAGUCGUCGUCGUCGUCGUCUUUCAAAGCAAUAACCGUCCAUACAAAUCGUUCGCGUGAACAUACGUGGUAAUAAUUAUUAAAGGUAAGCAAAACGUGCGUGUUUUUACACACUCCCCGCGCAUGCUCGCGAGUGUGCGCGGGGAUACGAACCGACCGAAAUCGGUUAUGUCCGACGCGGUGCGGCCAACGCAAAAUGAAAAAUUAUGCA